ACCAGUGUGGCGUAGUGGUUUGAGUGUUGGACUACGACCCUGGAGAUCAGGGUUCGAAUCCCUGUUUGGCC